rnacentral:misc_RNA from 1 species
GAUGAAGAACGCAGCGAAAUGCGAUAAGUAAUGUGAAUUGCAGAAUUCAGUGAAUCAUCGAAUGUUUGAACGCACCUUGCGCUCCUUGGUAUUCCGAGGAGCAUGCCUGUUUGAGUGUCAUUUCACCACUCAAGCCUGGCUUGGUGUUGGGCGACGUCCUCUUUGGGGACGCGCCUCGAAACGCUCGGCGGCGUGGCACCGGCUUUAAGCGUAGCAGAAUCUUUCGCUUUGGAAGUCGGGGCCCCGUCUGCCGGAAGACCUGCUCGCAAGGUUGACCUCGGAUCAGGCAGGGAUACCCGCUGAACUUAAGCAUAUCAAUAAGCGGAGGA